rnacentral:rRNA from 1 species
GACGAACGCUGGCGGCGUGCUUAACACAUGCAAGUCGAACGAUGAAGCCUAGCUUGCUAGGUGGAUUAGUGGCGAACGGGUGAGUAAUACGUGAGUAACCUACCUUUAACUCUGGGAUAAGCCUGGGAAACUGGGUCUAAUACCGGAUACGACCAAUCUCCGCAUGGGGUGUUGGUGGAAAGCGUUAUGUAGUGGUUAUAGAUGGGCUCACGGCCUAUCAGCUUGUUGGUGGGGUAACGGCUCACCAAGGCGACGACGGGUAGCCGGCCUGAGAGGGUGACCGGUCACAUUGGGACUGAGAUACGGCCCAGACUCCUACGGGAGGCAGCAGUGGGGAAUAUUGCACAAUGGGCGAAAGCCUGAUGCAGCGACGCCGCGUGAGGGAUGGAGGCCUUCGGGUUGUAAACCUCUUUCGCUCAUGGUCAAGCCGCAGCUUUGGGUUGUGGUGAGGGUAGUGGGUAAAGAAGCGCCGGCUAACUACGUGCCAGCAGCCGCGGUAAUACGUAGGGCGCGAGCGUUGUCCGGAAUUAUUGGGCGUAAAGGGCUUGUAGGCGGUUGGUCGCGUCUGCCGUGAAAUCCUCUGGCUUAACUGGGGGCGUGCGGUGGGUACGGGCUGACUUGAGUGCGGUAGGGGAGACUGGAACUCCUGGUGUAGCGGUGGAAUGCGCAGAUAUCAGGAAGAACACCGGUGGCGAAGGCGGGUCUCUGGGCCGUUACUGACGCUGAGGAGCGAAAGCGUGGGGAGCGAANNGG